GAAGCCCAGCACCGAAGCGCCCGUCCCAACGGGGCGGGAGGGCAAUGUGGUGUUUAGGAAUAGCGCGACCGAAGGUUGAUCUAAGCGCAAGUCCUCCUGACUGGGGCUCUCGCCCAUAGAGGGUGCAAGGCCCAUAGUCGCUUAUGAUCUCCGGCGGAAGCAAAAUUCCUUGGAGUCGGGUUGCUUGAGAGUGCAGCCCUAAGUGGGUGGUAAACUCCAUCUAAGGCUAAAUACGACCACGAAACCGAUAGCGAACAAGUACCGUGAGGGAAAGUUGAAAAGAACUUUGAAGAGAGAGUUCAAGAGUGCGUGAAACCGUUUAGAGGUAAACGGGUGGGCCCUCGAAGGUGAUCGUCGGAGGGAUUCAGUCGGACGUGACCGUAAGCGUCGUUCGUCUCUAACGGUGCGGACCUCGGUCGGCCGGGCGGGCGAAGGCUGCGGGCCGUUUGGCGCAUUUCCUUCCGUUCGAACUACGCUGCGACCAGUCUGGUCACUGAAAGUUGUCGUCCUUGAAAACGGGCGAUGGAAGGUGGCCGGCGGCGUCCCUCGGGAUGCCGUCGGUGUUUAUAGCCGGUUCGUUUCACGAGUGAGCGUUCAUCAGACUGGGGACGAUUCUAGCCCUGUGCGGGCUACGCCGAGCACUCCGUUUACGGAGCGUUGCGGGGUGACUGGAUGUGCCUGCGGUCGGGAGUUUCACCUUUGCGUGGGCUACCGCCGUAGGUCUCCGUAAGCUCAUUCCUGACCCGUCUUGAAACACGGACCAAGGAGUCUAACAUGUGCGCGAGUCAUUGGGUCUUGAAUAGGCCCAAAGGCGUAAUGAAAGUGAAGGGCGGUUCGGCCGUCUGCCUUGGGAUCCCGUGAACCUCGCGUUCGCGGGCGCACCAAGGGCCCGUCCCGGUCGCCUCGUCGACGGGGCGGAGCAAGAGCGUACACGUUGGGACCCGAAAGAUGGUGAACUAUGCCUGGGCAGGACGAAGCCAGAGGAAACUCUGGUGGAGGUCCGCAGCGAUUCUGACGUGCAAAUCGAUCGUCAGACCUGGGUAUAGGGGCGAAAGACUAAUCGAACCAUCUAGUAGCUGGUUCCCUCCGAA
rnacentral:rRNA from 1 species